rnacentral:lncRNA from 1 species
GCCUCUUGUUCAUUAUCUCCCAUUCUUUUGACCUCAUAUCCCUUUUUUCAUUGACUUUACAGUCAAGGAACUUGAUGCGCUCCCUAAAUCCAAAUAUUACAGUUAAAAGAAGAGAGAGGAAAUGUGUGCAGAGAAAGUGUAUUUUACAAAUGAACUAAAGAUGGAUUCUGAGAUACAGGUUUAUAGAUUUACCUAGAGUUUUGAGUUCAGGAAGCCAUCAUUCUUUAGAGGGCAAUGACCAAACAGUACCAGCAGAAAUUGAAGUACCAGCAGAAGGCUAAGAAGGGAUCAUGGCACAAGCUGCAGUUUCCACCCUGCCCAUUGAAGAUGAGGAGUCCAUGGAAGAUGAGGAGUCCGUUGAAGAUGAGUCUGUUGAAGAUGCGUCCACAGAGAGCAGGAUGGUGGUGACAUUGCUCGUAUCAGCUCUUGAGUCCAUGGAUCAUGGCACAAGUUGCAGUUUCCACUCUGCCCACUGAAGAUGAGGAGUCUGUUGAAGAUGAGGAGUCGUUGGAGAGCAGGAUGGUGGUGACAUUCCUAAUGUCAGCUCUCGAGUCCACGGUCAGACCUUCUGUUCUCACAUUCUGUAGUUUG